rnacentral:rRNA from 1 species
GGCGGACGGGUGAGUAACGCGUAAGGAACUUGCCUCUUGGACUGGGACAACUGUUGGAAACGACAGCUAAUACCGGAUAUUAUGAGAUUCUCGCAUGAGAAACUUAUGAAAGCUAUAUGCGCCAAGAGAGAGCCUUGCGUUCCAUUAGCUAGUUGGUGGGGUAACGGCCCACCAAGGCGACGAUGGAUAGCCGGCCUGAGAGGGUGAACGGCCACAAGGGGACUGAGACACGGCCCUUACUCCUACGGGAGGCAGCAGUGGGGAAUAUUGGACAAUGGGCCACAAGCCUGAUCCAGCAAUUCUGUGUGCACGAUGAAGGUCUUCGGAUUGUAAAGUGCUUUCAGUUGGGAAGAAGAAAGUGACGGUACCAACAGAAGAAGCGACGGUUAAAUACGUGCCAGCAGCCGCGGUAAUACGUAUGUCGCAAGCGUUAUCCGGAUUUAUUGGGCGUAAAGCGCAUCUAGGCGGAAAAAUAAGUCUGAUGUUAAAAUGCGGGGCUCAACUCCGUAUUGCGUUGGAAACUGUUUUUCUAGAGUACUGGAGAGGUGGGCGGAACUACAAGUGUAGAGGUGAAAUUCGUAGAUAUUUGUAGGAAUGCCGAUGGAGAAGUCAGCUCACUGGACAGAUACUGACGCUGA